rnacentral:tRNA from 3 species
GGGAGCGUGGUGGAAUUGGUAGACGCACCGCACUCAAAAUGCGGCACCUUCGGGUUUGUCGGUUCGAGUCCGACCGCUCCCA